rnacentral:rRNA from 1 species
GAUGAACGCUGGCGGCGUGCCUAAUACAUGCAAGUCGAGCGAAAAGAUGAGGAGCUUGCUCCUCUGACGUUAGCGGCGGACGGGUGAGUAACACGUGGAUAACCUACCUAUCAGACUGGGAUAACUUCGGGAAACCGGAGCUAAUACCGGAUAAUAUAUUGAACCGCAUGGUUCAAUAGUGAAAGACGGUUUUGCUGUCACUUAUAGAUGGAUCCGCGCCGCAUGAGCUAGUUGGUAAGGUAACGGCUUACCAAGGCGACGAUGCGUAGCCGACCUGAGAGGGGGAUCGGCCACACUGGAACUGAGACACGGUCCAUACUCCUACGGGAGGCAGCAGUAGGGAAUCGUCCGCAAUGGGCGAAAGCUUGACGGAGCAACGCCGCGUGAGUGAUGAAGGUCUUCGGAUCGUAAAACUCUGUUAUUAGGGAAGAACAAAUGUGUAAUUAACUAUGCACGUCUUGACGGUACCGAAUCAGAAAGCCACGGCUAACUACGUG